rfam:Hypholoma sublateritium FD-334 SS-4 unplaced genomic scaffold scaffold_56, whole genome shotgun sequence.
GGGGGAAUAGCUCAGCUGGGAGAGCAGUAGACUGAAGAUCUAAAGGUCCUGCGUUCGAUCCGCGGUUUCCCCA